GUAUACUUUUUAUACAUUUAUAGAAAUCUUUUGGAUAUGCUUUGUUGAAGAUUAAGAUUUUUUUAUUGCUCAAUUUAAGUCCAUUUGAUUUGAAGCUUUGCUGCGAUAAUACAGCAGAGAAUUAUUCUCAUUAUGAUUCAUUACGAUUCUCAUUAUGACGACAUUCAUCACUAAAUAAAAGAGAACGUUUACAACGUAAUCAUGGACAAAUAAGACUACAUCAACAAAGCGAAGACCCUCUUACAAGACACCAACACGUAUGAACCUCUCCAAACAGACCCCAACAAAACCACUACAAACCGCAUCAACAAGAAAUUAAAACAACUAAAAGCAAAAAGAAACUUAACGAAACCGUCUACAAAAGAAUCCGACCCAACGACUCCUCCACCGCCAAAUUCUAUGGACUACCAAAAAUUCACAAAGAAAACAACCCGCUAUGACCGAUUGUAUCUCUUCCUGGAUCACCAACGAAGAAAUCAAAAUAGCUGUGAUGGUGGAGAUGAGUAUCCUGAUUUCAUGCCUAUUCCUUUCCGCUACGCUGCGAGAAAUUCAAGAGUUCCGAUUGAGUUUGAGGUGUUGCAGAUGAUUGCGAAAAGAAGGGUUUGAUUAAGUUUUCAAGGUAGCUUUUU